GGGCGUCGGGGAUCGUGUUCCGGACGCCGCUCCGGCCGGCGUAGUCGAACCGGUACGGGGCCGAGACGUCCA
rnacentral:tRNA from 1 species